CUACUACGUGCUGAGGGGUUGCAAUGGCGGACGUGUCUGAGAGGACGCUGCAGGUGUCCGUGCUAGUGGCUUUCGCCUCUGGAGUGGUUCUGGGCUGGCAAGCAAAUCGGCUGCGGAGGCGUUACCUAGACUGGAGGAAGCGGAGGCUGCAGGACAAGCUGGCAACGACUCAGAAAAAGCUGGACCUGGCCUGAGCACGCGCUGCGCCCCGAGUCCGCCGGGUUCUUACUGCCUAAGCCCAACGCAGCCCGGAUCGUGGGAGCGGCGCGACCACACGCCUAUGAGUCGUCCUUGCACAGCUUGCAAGAAUGUGGCUUGCUUCCAGACCUCAGAAAGAAAAUAGUUUUGUCUUCUCUAACAACUUACUUUCAGCUUGUCGAAGAUGGAUAUAAAGCACUGAAGAGAAAUAAUUUCUUGCACUUUAUGAAUCUAUUUUUGAAAUAAAAAAAAAAUUAA